rfam:Capsicum annuum cultivar Zunla-1 chromosome 6, whole genome shotgun sequence
CUUCAAGGUGAGAGCAUUACAUGAGUUUGUCAUUAAACCUUUGCCACACCUCAUAUAAAGGCUCACCACAAAGUUGAUGAAAAUUUGUUAUUUUAUCUCUUAGUUG